rnacentral:rRNA from 1 species
CACCAGCGCCACGAGUGGCUAUCGCGAUUAUUGGGCCUAAAGCGUCCGUAGUCGGUUCUGUGCAUCUUUUGUGAAAUCGCAGCGCUUAACGUUGCGGCAUGCGAAAGACACGGCAGAGCUUGAGAGCGGGAGGCGUGUAGGGUACUCCGGGGGGACCGGUAAAAUGGUAUAAUCCCCGGAAGACCACCUGUGGCGAAGGCGCUACACGAGAACGCAUCUGACGAUGAGGGACGAAAGCCAGGGGAGCAAA